rnacentral:rRNA from 1 species
CAGGAUGAACGCUGGCGGCGUGCUUAACACAUGCAAGUCGAACGAACCUUCGGGUUAGUGGCGGACGGGUGAGUAACGCGUGGGAAUCUGCCCUCAGGAGGGGGAUAACGGCUGGAAACGGCCGCUAAUACCCCAUAUGCCGAGAGGUGAAAUGAAUUUCGCCUGAGGAUGAGCCCGCGUCUGAUUAGCUAGUUGGUGGGGUAAGAGCCUACCAAGGCGACGAUCAGUAGCUGGUCUGAGAGGAUGAUCAGCCACACUGGGACUGAGACACGGCCCAGACUCCUACGGGAGGCAGCAGUGGGGAAUUUUCCGCAAUGGGCGCAAGCCUGACGGAGCAACGCCGCGUGAGGGACGAAGGCCUCUGGGCUGUAAACCUCUUUUCUCAAGGAAGAAGAACUGACGGUACUUGUGGAAUAAGCCACGGCUAAUUCCGUGCCAGCAGCCGCGGUAAUACGGGAGUGGCAAGCGUUAUCCGGAAUUAUUGGGCGUAAAGCGUCCGCAGGCGGCCUUGUAAGUCGGCUGUCAAAGCGUGGAGCUCAACUCCAUUUCGGCAGUGGAAACUACAGGGCUUGAGUGCGGUAGGGGCAGAGGGAAUUCCCGGUGUAGCGGUGAAAUGCGUAGAUAUCGGGAAGAACACCAGUGGCGAAGGCGCUCUGCUGGACCAUAACUGACGNUCAUGGACGAAAGCUAGGGGAGCGAAAGGGAUUAGAUACCCCUGUAGUCCUAGCCGUAAACGAUGAACACUAGGUGUCGGGGGAAUCGACCCCCUCGGUGUCGUAGCUAACGCGUUAAGUGUUCCGCCUGGGGAGUACGCACGCAAGUGUGAAACUCAAAGGAAUUGACGGGGGCCCGCACAAGCGGUGGAGUAUGUGGUUUAAUUCGAUGCAACGCGAAGAACCUUACCAGGGUUUGACAUCCUGCGAAUCCCUUGGAAACGAGGGAGUGCCUUCGGGAGCGCAGAGACAGGUGGUGCAAGGCUGUCGUCAGCUCGUGUCGUGAGAUGUUGGGUUAAGUCCCGCAACGAGCGCAACCCACGUCUUUAGUUGCCAGCAUUAAGUUGGGCACUCUAGAGAGACCGCCGGUGAUAAACCGGAGGAAGGUGUGGAUGACGUCAAGUCAUCAUGCCCCUUACAUCCUGGGCUACACACGUACUACAAUGCUACGGACAAAGGGCAGCAAACUCGCGAGAGCUAGCAAAUCCCAUAAACCGUGGCUCAGUUCAGAUCGUAGGCUGCAACUCGCCUACGUGAAGGAGGAAUCGGUAGUAAUCGCAGGUCAGCAUACUGCGGUGAAUACGUUCCCGGGCCUUGUACACACCGCCCGUCACACCAUGGAAGUUGGCCAUGCCCGAAGUCGUUACUCCAGCCCUUGUGGAGGAGGACGCCGAAGGUGGGGCUGAUGACUGGGGUG